rnacentral:rRNA from 1 species
AUGAACGCUGGCGGCGUGCCUAAUACAUGCAAGUCGAGCGAACAGAUGAGGAGCUUGCUCCUCUGACGUUAGCGGCGGACGGGUGAGUAACACGUGGAUAACCUACCUAUAAGACUGGGAUAACUUCGGGAAACCGGAGCUAAUACCGGAUAAUAUAUUGAACCGCAUGGUUUAAUAGUGAAAGACGGUUUUGCUGUCACUUAUAGAUGGAUCCGCGCCGCAUUAGCUAGUUGGUAAGGUAACGGCUUACCAAGGCAACGAUGCGUAGCCGACCUGAGAGGGUGAUCGGCCACACUGGAACUGAGACACGGUCCAGACUCCUACGGGAGGCAGCAGUAGGGAAUCUUCCGCAAUGGGCGAAAGCCUGACGGAGCAACGCCGCGUGAGUGAUGAAGGUCUUCGGAUCGUAAAACUCUGUUAUUAGGGAAGAACAAAUGUGUAAGUAACUAUGCACGUCUUGACGGUACCUAAUCAGAAAGCCACGGCUAACUACGUG